CACACUCUGUCUCUCUGUCUCUUAAAAAUAAACAUUAAAAAAAAAAUUUUUAAGGCUAAAUAACUGUCCAUCAUCACACAGCUAGAGGGCGUCAGAACUAGAAGCAAGGGCCCUUAACCACUACUCAAUCUAAGAGUAUUUCCAUACCUAUUGAGCCGCUAAUGCUGCGUGUGCGUGCAUGCAUAAUAGUGCGCGUGCGCGCGCGCGUGCCUGCGUGUGUGGUUUGGGGUUUAAUGAGCCUGAAUUCACCGGGAAGUAAAAGCAGCACCACAACCAAGAGUUAGUAUUGAUUCUUCUGUAGCUCUAACUAUCAAAAGAAACUAAAGAUAUUUUUUCUGAGGUUUUGUCCUGUAAAACUGGCCAGAGGAGAAAAAAAAUCAGGCUUCACAAAUCAUCAGUUUCUGAGCGUCAAGGAAUUGGUCCCAAGUGGGCAAGUUUGGUGGCAGCAGGCAUAGAGAGUUACUCUUAAUGAGACAACCCAAUCAAGCAAUACCACAAAGGCCUCUGAUGACACUGGCUGCUAUGAGGAUAAUGUGUUGUACGGGACAGAGAACAGUGGAGAUUCCAGAAACAGGAGGGACAAAAAGAUAAACCAGAAGCUGGUGGUGGCGGCAUUUGAGGACAUGCUCAAACACCAGAAGGCAUUCAUGGAUAAAUGAACAAAUGAUUGCAAGAACACCCAGCAAAACCCUGAGAAGGCACCUUGGAAGGUUCUACAGAAAAGGAGUACUCACAGGAAGCCCUCGGGGUCCUCGGGGUCCCACUUCUCCUGGAGGCCCCUGUUGGCCCUAUUAUGAGGAAGGCAAGGAAAGAAAAAGUUAACACUCCCUAAUUCUUUGCUCACUGAUUGCAACAGGUUAUAAUAUAAGGAAAGGUAACUCAUGGCAUCUUACCGGUUUGCCUGAAUUCCCCAAUUGACCAGGCUUCCCUGGAGCACCUGUGUUACCCUAAAGGUAAAGAGCAACAUUCAGGGUAAUUCAGACAGCAAGUAAGCAUAUCAUCAACCUGUCUAGGCCAGACCAGGCAUUUCUGACACCUAAAUAGCAUUAAUUUCCGAAUUUCACAUUGAGAAUUUGGGAAGAUGUAGAAUCUCUUUCUUAGUGGAUACAUUAAAAAGUUUUUCAGAUUCAGGAUAAUGUUCUGUUAUUCCCACAAGUAUAGUAAAGGUGUCAAAAAGUCCAAAAGUGAAGGUCAAAUGUCAAAAAAAUGAAGGUCAUUAGCCAGACAAGAAUAUGAGAAAAGUUUUCUUUCUUCACAAUAUUAAUUAUAUGUGUCUUUCCUUUACCACUUCUGUCUCCAAUACCUUUCUUUGAGCCCUUUUACCUGACACUGACACUAUUAAAAUUAAAAAGAAUCCUGUGAACAUGAGGAGUAAAAGGAUGUGCUGUUGAGAAAAACCCUGCCAGCAAGCUUCAGGGAAAGCACAUGUCUGGGAUGUCAUCUGCACCAUCAGUCUCUCACAGUCUACUUAUUAGGGAACAUCUCUGCUCUUUAAAGAUGCUGUGGACCCCUAUAAUUAGAGAGCUGUAGCCAUAUAACCUGGUAAUGACCAAAUUCUACAUUAUUCACAUUUUAUCUAUUUUAUUCAAAGCUAUGUCUUCUCCCUUUAAUUUUUCUUUCACCUGUUGUUUUUAAUUGUCAUAUAAUUUCUAUGGCUUAAUAACAAUUUCCUUAUUUUAAGUGGUAAAGAACAGUAACACUUUCUCUGUUUUCUACUGGCAAAGGAUGACACUUUCAGGAAGGAAGUCUAAUCAGCAACACUUUGUCAAAGUUCUGUUUGCAGCUAGGAAAGAGAAUAGCAUUUGAAGCCAUAAAGCCUUUUUCAUUCCUCCUUCGAGUCAAAAAUAAGUCAGGCUGGAAAUACUAAAAAUGAUAAAUAAAACACACUAACGAAAGAAUAAAGAAAUAGAGAAAAGUACUAAUUAAAAAGGUUUAAUCUUUUACCUUUUCACCAGCAACACCCUUUGCUCCAGGGAUCCCAGGUACACCCUGAAAGAGCGCAUACAGAACACGGGUUGAAUCACUUCACCUGAGAAUCUGCAGGUGCCGUGCUCACUUCAUGCCGAGGGGCCAAGGGGAUCGUGACAGCAGCAAAGCUUUAAUGUGAGGGAGCUUCUCCCUAGUUCCCAAAUUCUGAACAGUUUAGAAGGAAUUGCUUCACUGUAUCUGGCUUGUUGAGUCUGAACGCCCUUAGGCAAAUCCUGCCUCUAAACUAAAGUUAUUUUUCAAGCAUGAAUUUCCAAAUUAUAAUUCAGUACUAUUUUCAGGUCAAUGGGAGCUUCUACUACCAGCAUGAUUUGAGGUACAGAAUAACAAAACAAGGACCUACCUACUGAAUCGCUAACGCUUAAGUAGGAAAAAAAAUGGCAGGAGAAUGCUGGCUCUCACUAAAAUUUGGUACUAUUGGGAGUCCUAAUGUUCUCUCACUGGUUAUUUUGAAAUGUCAGACAGAUAUCAUAAUAAAUUGUGGCCAGUCCUCAAAUCACCAAGUAUCCCUUUGUAACCUUGAAACAUGUGUCUCCAAGAAUACAUCUGGAUAAUCCACAUUAGCCUCCAGCCACACUAAUGCAGGGAAACACCAAUCUGAAUAAUUCAAAAUACCACACAUCAAAAAAAAAAUGGUAUCUUAUAUCUCACAUUGUCCUAUGAACAUACUCUCAACCCUCUUAUGGCUCAACUCUGCUAACAAGAACUUCAGAACUGGUUAAAAGUAGGAGGAAGUAUAUGACCCUGGCCCAUAGCUCAGGGUUAGUGAAAUAAGACAAAUUGAGUGAACUAAAGAUAGAAGAUAAAAUUAAAGCUUAGUAUAGUUAUUAGAGAAAUAGCUAGUUAUUCAGAAAAAAGUAGAAAAUGUAAAACUGUAAAAAUAUAAAAUUAAAGUAUCAUAUAUGUUCCCCAGAACUUAUCAAAUUAUUUCUCCCUAAAAUUCAUAUUUUCAAAAUAUGUAUCCAAACCAAUAAACAUUUAAAGACUCAAAUACUUACAGGUAACCCUUGCAAUCCUGCAUCACCAGGAGGCCCAGGUUUCCCUGGUUCACCCUGAAAAAAGAAGUUUGUAUGCAUCACUGGACUUGUAUGAACUGCUUAAUUUCUUUCAAGAAAGGAAAGGACACAGACCUUCUAAGUAGAAGGAUAAUCUCUACAUCUGACCUUACAUGCACUUUUAUAAUAUGAUCCAGUUCAGGGAGGGGGGAGGAGGACGAUGGACUUAGGACAUAAAUUUAAUCAAAAUACACAGUUUCUUUCAGCGACUUUCAUUAACAGGGCAAUUUUACUGAGUUCCUAAAACCAAGUAAAGAAACAUACUAUUCUAAUAGUAUUUUCAGUUGACACUUGAUUUAAAAAUUAAAAGGAGGAGAAAAGCCAAAGCCAGCUAAAUACAUUUCCCAGUAAUGUAGUAAUGGAAAUGCUGUGCUUGGUUGGCCAGGGCCACACAGCUACCUUUGUUCCAGGCAUUCCAGGUAUCCCAUCACGGCCAUCCACACCUGGCAAGCCCUGCAGACACACAAAGAAACAGACUGUCUCUCAGAAAUAGUCACAGCCUUCUUCCCUUCAUUAUUUUCUAAAGUUUUAUUACAAGUUAAUAAUCACUUUGAAAAAUGUGCUUGAUAACUGUGGCUCAGGACAUACCGUGUCUCCUUUGGACCCAGGGACACCAGGAAUUCCUCUAGAACCUUGAGGUCCCUGCAGGGCAGAAAGGCAAGGAUAGACAAGACAUGCUCAUUUAUCACAAUACUUAGGACACAUCAAAGAGGUAAGCAGAAUCAGAGGACACCAAAAAGCACCAUGUUUACAGUGAUUAACACUAAUUUGAACUCACUCUAUCUCCCUUGGGACCUGUUUCUCCUGGAGGUCCUCGCUGUCCUUGAUCACCCUGUAUGAAAAUAAAACGUUGUUAAUACAAGCAGAAGUCACUUAUUGAUAGACUUUUGAAAUUAUAAAACUCCAUCCAUAUUACCUUACUACUGCUCUUUCAACCUUUGCUCUGACUUGGAUGCCUAGCUCAAGAAAUCUUUUUUAUUUUUUAUAAUUUUUUUAAUGUCUAUUUGAGAAAGAGACAG